rnacentral:rRNA from 1 species
UGGCGGACGGGUGAGUAAUGUCUGGGAAACUGCCUGAUGGAAGGGGGAUAACUACUGGAAACGGUAGCUAAUACCGCAUAACGUCGCAAGACCAAAGAGGGGGACCUUCGGGCCUCUUGCCAUCGGAUGUGCCCAGAUGGGAUUAGCUAGUAGGUGGGGUAACGGCUCACCUAGGCGACGAUCCCUAGCUGGUCUGAGAGGAUGACCAGCCACACUGGAACUGAGACACGGUCCAGACUCCUACGGGAGGCAGCAUG